AUUGAACGCUGGCGGCAUGCUUUACACAUGCAAGUCGGACGGCAGCAUAAAAGAGCUUGCUCUUUUGAUGGCGAGUGGCGAACGGGUGAGUAAUGCAUCGGAACGUACCGAGUAGUGGGGGGUAACUGUCCGAAAGGAUGGCUAAUACCGCAUAUUCUCUGAGGAGGAAAGCAGGGGACCUUAGGGCCUUGCGCUAUUUGAGCGGCCGAUGUCUGAUUAGCUAGUUGGUGGGGUAAGAGCCCACCAAGGCGACGAUCAGUAGCGGGUCUGAGAGGAUGAUCCGCCACACUGGGACUGAGACACGGCCCAGACUCCUACGGGAGGCAGCAGUGGGGAAUUUUGGACAAUGGGCGCAAGCCUGAUCCAGCCAUGCCGCGUGUAUGAAGAAGGCCUUCGGGUUGUAAAGUACUUUUGUCAGGGAAGAAAAGCCUGAGGAUAACACCCUCAGGUCAUGACGGUACCUGAAGAAUAAGCACCGGCUAACUACGUGCCAGCAGCCGCGGUAAUACGUAGGGUGCGAGCGUUAAUCGGAAUUACUGGGCGUAAAGCGAGCGCAGACGGUUAUUUAAGCAAGAUGUGAAAGCCCCGGGCUCAACCUGGGAACUGCGUUUUGAACUGGGUAACUAGAGUGUGUCAGAGGGGGGUAGAAUUCCACGUGUAGCAGUGAAAUGCGUAGAGAUGUGGAGGAAUACCGAUGGCGAAGGCAGCCCCCUGGGAUAACACUGACGUUCAUGCUCGAAAGCGUGGGUAGCAAACNGG
rnacentral:rRNA from 1 species